UGUUGUAGGUUUCCUCAUCUCCACCAUUGGGUCCAGAUGAUGGGAAGUCCACAUCAAACCACUUGGUCCACGAGCACUGUGGCUGACAGCUGGGGGUAGAUGGGUGGGUAGAUGUGCUAGGAGUUGUGGUUGGUGUUGUGGAAACCGAAGUCGUUGGAGUUUGGGGUGAUGAUGGAGUUGAGGUGGUUGUGGUGGGCACAGAAUGGGAAGUUGUCUCGGGACUUGGCUUUGUAGUGACCGAUGUGGUUGUAGGAGUGGUUGGAGAUGUAGUAGUGGUGAU